UGAUCCUGGCUCAGGAUGAACGCUGGCGGCGUGCCUAAUACAUGCAAGUCGAACGAAUCUCUUUUAGAGAUGAGUGGCGAACGGGUGAGUAAUACAUAGGUAACCUGCCCCUGUGCGGGGGAUAACAGGAGGAAACUCCUGCUAAUACCGCAUAGCCAUGAGCACCGCAUGGAGCUCAUGCCAAAUAUCCUUUAUGGGAUAGCGCAGGGAUGGACCUAUGGCGCAUUAGCUGGUUGGCGGGGCAACGGCCCACCAAGGCAACGAUGCGUAGCCGGCCUGAGAGGGCGGACGGCCACAUUGGGACUGAGACACGGCCCAGACUCCUACGGGAGGCAGCAGUAGGGAAUUUUCGGCAAUGGGGGAAACCCUGACCGAGCAACGCCGCGUGAGCGAAGAAGGCCUUCGGGUCGUAAAGCUCUGUUGUAAAGGAAGAACGGCGCAUACAGGAAAUGGUAUGCGAGUGACGGUACUUUACCAGAAAGCCACGGCUAACUACGUGCCAGCAGCCGCGGUAAUACGUAGGUGGCGAGCGUUAUCCGGAAUCAUUGGGCGUAAAGAGGGAGCAGGCGGCCGCAAGGGUCUGUGGUGAAAGACCGAAGCUAAACUUCGGUAAGCCAUGGAAACCGGGCGGCUAGAGUGCGGAAGAGGAUCGUGGAAUUCCAUGUGUAGCGGUGAAAUGCGUAGAUAUAUGGAGGAACACCAGUGGCGAAGGCGACGGUCUGGGCCGCAACUGACGCUCAUUCCCGAAAGCGUGGGGAGCAAAUAGGAUUAGAUACCCUAGUAGUCCACGCCGUAAACGAUGGUCACUAAGUGUCGGGGGUCAAACCCCGGUGCUGCAGUCAACGCAAUAAGUGACCAGCCUGAGUAGUACGUUCGCAAGAAUGAAACUCAAAGGA
rnacentral:rRNA from 1 species